rnacentral:rRNA from 1 species
UACGUAGGGUGCGAGCGUUAAUCGGAAUUACUGGGCGUAAAGCGUGCGCAGGCGGCUUUGCAAGACAGAUGUGAAAUCCCCGGGCUCAACCUGGGAACUGCAUUUGUGACUGCAAGGCUAGAGUGCGGCAGAGGGGGAUGGAAUUCCGCGUGUAGCAGUGAAAUGCGUAGAUAUGCGGAGGAACACCAAUGGCGAAGGCAAUCCCCUGGGCCUGUACUGACGCUCAUGCACGAAAGCGUGGGGAGCAAACAGG